AGAGGGUGCAAGCGUUAAUCGGAGUUACUGGGCGUAAAGCGUGCGUAGGCGGAUAUUUAAGUCGGAUGUGAAAGCCCCGGGCUCAACCUGGGAACUGCAUUCGAUACUGGGUAUCUAGAGUAUGAUAGAGGAAAGUGGAAUUUCCGGUGUAGCGGUGAAAUGCGUAGAUAUCGGAAGGAACACCAGCGGCGAAGGCGACUUACUGGAUCAAUACUGACGCUGAGGUACGAAAGCGUGGGGAGCAAACAGGGAUUAGAGACCCUGGUAGUCCACGCUGUAAACGAUGAGAACUAGGCGUUAAUUUCAUUUUAUUAUGGAACUAGUGCCAAAGCUAACGCGUUAAGUUCUCCGCCUGGGGAGUACGAUCGCAAGAUUA
rnacentral:rRNA from 1 species